rnacentral:lncRNA from 1 species
CCAUCGGUUUUAGAUUAGCACUAAGAACUCAACAAGAAAGUCCAAAUGAAUAGAGUUUUUUUAUAUUUUCCUAUUUUAAUAUACUUCCUCACUAUAUUUUAAAAAUUAAUAAAUUCCAAAAAAAUUAAGGACUACGAUUAAAAAUCCAACAACUUUGGUGCAAGCAAGAGAUGCCUUUUUAUAUUGAGUUUUAAGAGAUUGUGUGAAAAAUAUAAGCAUGCGUUUUUAUCAUAAUUUUUAUAAAUUUUUAAAAAUUUAUCUUUUUGUGAAAUUAUAUUGAGUUUUUUUUUAUUUUUUAAAAAACUGCAUAAGUUUAUAAAGAAUUCUCAAAAUGUCUCAGGAUAUAUAUUUUAUCCUAAAAUUGGCAUAAAGUGUUAAUGAGUUAUCUUUUAGUUCAUUUUUAUAUCUAUUUUAUAUGCAUUUAAAAAAUAAAUUGGCUAAAAAUAUUUAGAUAAUCUAAUUUUGGAUAAGUUAGUUAUUUUAUAAUAUUAUAUAUGUAUAAACCAUUGGAACUUUUAGAGAUGGUAUUCUUUAGAGAUGAAUUAUUACAACUAUGAUAAAUCUUUGAAACUAUUCAUAGUGGUAAACUUUAGAAUAAUAAAAUAUGAUUUAUUUGUUUUUA